rnacentral:rRNA from 1 species
UACGAGGGGGCAAGCGUUGUUCGGAAUUAUUGGGCGUAAAGGGCGCGUAGGCGGUUUGACAAGUCUGAUGUGAAAUCUAUGGGCUCAACCCAUAGCCUGCAUUAGAAACUGUCGGCUUGAGUAUGGGAGAGGUGAGUGGAAUUUCCGGUGUAGCGGUGAAAUGCGUAGAUAUCAGGAGGAACACCGGUGGUGUAGACGGCUCACUGGACCAUAACUGACGCUGAGACACGAAAGCGUGGGUAGCAAACAGG